GUAAGAUGCAAAAGUUUAUCAGCAAUGAGACAGGAUGGCUGAUUAGUUGAUUGGUAAAGCUGACUAGUUGGUUUUUGUCAGGUUUAUGUGAGGGGUGUUCAAAACCUGCAAAACCUACAGUAUCUUGCAGAGUUUAGCUCCAACCCCAAUUAAACACACUUGACACACUUGAACCAGCUAAUCAAGGCAGAUGUGUGGAGGCAAGUUGGAGCUAAACUCUGCAGGACAGUGGCCCUCCAGGAGCAGGUUUGGACACCCCUAGUUUAUGUAGAAUUUUAGUCAUUAGGGUUAGUCAUUAAUUACUCACCCUCAUGUUGUUCCAAACCCGUAAGUCUUUCGUUCAUCUUCGGAGCACAAAAGAAGAUCUUUUUGAUGAAAUAUGAGAACGCUCUGUCCCUCCAUAGACAGCUACACAACUGACACUUUGACGCUUCAAAAAGUUCAUAAAGAGAUUGUAAAACUAACCCAUAUGAAUUGAGUGGUUUAGUCCAAAUUUUCUGAAGAGACUUGAGCUUCCGCAAGAACCAAUGAGGUUCAUUCUCAUGUUACGCAGCACGUUUGAGCUUCCUCAAGAACCAUGAGGUUCAUUCUCAUGUUACGCAGCACGUUUAAGCUUCCUCAAGAACCAAUGAGGUUCAUUCUCGUGUUACGCAGAACGUUUGUGCUUCCUCAAGAACCAAUGAGGUUCAUUCUUGUGUUACGCAGCACGUUUGAGCUUCCUCAAGAACCAAUGAGGUUCAUUCUUGUGUUACGCGGCACGUUUGAGCUUCCUCAAGAACCAAUGAGGUUCAUUCUCAUGUUACGUGGCACGUUUGAGCUUCCUCAUGUUGUAUUAUAUCAAGAAAAUGCAAUUACCCUGCCUCCUUGUUUAGAUUUUGGAAGUCUGUUGCUACACAUUUGGCCAAUGUAUUAAAAAUUAGGCAUUGCUUACAAUAUUAUUAUUAUUUAUUUUUGUUUGUUUCUAAGAAAUGUAUUAUACUGUAUGGCCAGAGAUGUACAGUUAUUGUUGGAUAUGUGUGUUGUUCUAUGUGUGUGCGCUCAAGGACACAGAGAACUGUGGUUCUACUCCUAGAACCUUAUAACGACAUCAGCCAUCUUGGCUGAGUUUACUGGAGUUCAAGGACACAAAAGCCAGACAGCUUGCACCUGCGAGGCCUUGAGAAGGAUCUGGAAACUUUAGGAAAGUUACAACGUACGUCAAUCAAGAAGAUAACCAAACGUCUGCAAUAAACAACAGGAGUAUAAAAGACUGAUGAGUUGAUUGCCUCUUCGGAUACUGAUACGUCAGUACCCCCGACACCUAGAAGCCCAGAGCUGAGGACAAGAAACCCCAAGCUGAAGAUGGGAAGCCCAGAGCUGACUACACCUUUGACUCACAAGAGUGAUUACUGUAUAUUAUACCUUAAUGAUGAAGUUUUAUUUGCCUUUACAUUUUUGUUUAUUAUAAAAAAAAAAAAGUAACCAAUUAAAAGAAAUUUAAUUGAUUACAAAAGCUGCCUACCUUGGCUUGAUUUUGUAGUGUUUUAAGACUUUGAACAAGAAUGUGCCACAGAGGAGUCUUCUGACCAAAUUGUAAGUAAUUUUAAAUGCUUAUAAUUUAGGCCAGACUCAACUUACUUUACCUAACCUGAGAAUAAUAAAUAAUAAGGUUAAAGGUGUUAAGAUCAAAAUACACACCGAAAAACAUGGCGCCCAACGUGGGGCAUUGAUCCAUCAACCCCUGGCCACGGUCGAUCGAGCAAUGCUUUCCCAUUCGCUUCCGCACUCGUGCGCUUGAGUUUUAGAUGUAAAAACUUGGGAAGCUAGUGAAUCACCAGGUAACCUGUAAGACCCAAAAUGUAAAUAAUCUAGAGGGAUUAUUUAUAGACGGCCCAGAAAGGGUUGAACGCGUGUAGAACAGAUAACUUUACGAGCCAGGGAGCCGUAAAGGUUAAGAAAGCUGUAGGAGAGACAGAAAGUCUCACAUGGCUAGCCUCAGAGAAUGAGAGGCAGAGACGAGCUAAAGAUAAGACCUGUUAGUGAAGGACGCUUUGCUCAUGGCAGGGAGAGCCCAGCAAAAAUCCAGCAAUGUGUUUAGGCUCAUCCAUGAGAAAGAAAAAUUAGCCUUUCGAGCAGACACACCGGUUCUAGAAAUGGAACGUGGCUCCUGUGACAGACCAAAAUGGUCAAAACUUAAAGACUGAGGUAGGUCUAGCAGCUAUACAAGAAGAAAAAGUGGAAAUGGGGAAAAUGUGUACCUGUGAUAAAAUUACAGUAUAAGGCUCAUAGAAAAGGAAAAUGUGAUAGGUACUGUUGAUACAUAAAGCUAAAGAAAAUGUUUUACAUUCUUAUAGGUGUGGUAGAGUGCCAAAAAGAAUACUAUCAGAACGCUAGAGGCUAAAAGACUGGAAAACAAUAGUUGUGAUAACUGAUAACUUUUCUUUUAAUAGAAAGUUAAAGAAUAGUUAAAAAGGAGUAAUAAUAUUGUAGUAUUGAAAGAAUAUAAUUUGAAUUUCCAGACAAUGAAGAUAAUGGAAGAUAGACUGUUAACAAUAAACUUAUUAAAAAAAAAAAAAAACACAACAACAA